AUUGAACGCUGGCGGUAUGCCUUACACAUGCAAGUCGAACGGUAGAGGGGCAACCCUUGAGAGUGGCGAACGGGUGAGUAAUACAUCGGAACGUGCCCAGUCGUGGGGGAUAACGUAGCGAAAGCUACGCUAAUACCGCAUACGACCCGAGGGUGAAAGCGGGGGAUCGCAAGACCUCGCGCGAUUGGAGCGGCCGAUGGCAGAUGAGGUAGGUGGUGGGGUAAAGGCCUACCAAGGCUGCGAUCUGUAGCUGGUCUGAGAGGACGACCAGCCAAACUGGGACUGAGACACGGCCCGGACUCCUACGGGAGGCAGCAGUGGGGAAUUUUGGACAAUGGGCGCAAGCCUGAUCCAGCCAUACCGCGUGCGGGAAGAAGGCCUUCGGGUUGUAAACCGCUUUUGUCAGGGAAGAAAUCUUCUGGGCUAAUACCUCGGGAGGAUGACGGUACCUGAAGAAUAAGCACCGGCUAACUCCGUGCCAGCCGCCGCAGUAAUAC
rnacentral:rRNA from 1 species